UACAGAGGUCCCGAGCGUUGUUCGGAUUCACUGGGCGUAAAGGGUGCGUAGGUGGUGAGGUAAGUCGGAUGUGAAAUCUCCGAGCUCAACUCGGAAAUGGCAUUGGAAACUACCUUGCUCGAGGGUUGGAGGGGGGACUGGAAUACUUGGUGUAGCAGUGAAAUGCGUAGAUAUCAAGUGGAACACCAGUGGCGAAGGCGAGUCCCUGGACAACUCCUGACACUGGGGCACGAAAGCUAGGGGAGCAAACAGG
rnacentral:rRNA from 1 species